CCGCGUGAGGGAUGACGGCCUUCGGGUUGUAAACCUCUUUUAGCAGGGAAGAAGCGAAAGUGACGGUACCUGCAGAAAAAGCGCCGGCUAACUACGUGCCAGCAGCCGCGGUAAUACGUAGGGCGCAAGCGUUAUCCGGAAUUAUUGGGCGUAAAGAGCUCGUAGGCGGUUUGUCGCGUCUGCUGUGAAAUCCCGAGGCUCAACCUCGGGCCUGCAGUGGGUACGGGCAGACUAGAGUGCGGUAGGGGAGAUUGGAAUUCCUGGUGUAGCGGUGGAAUGCGCAGAUAUCAGGAGGAACACCGAUGGCGAAGGCAGAUCUCUGGGCCGUAACUGACGCUGAGGAGCGAAAGGGUGGGGAGCAAACAGGCUUAGAUACCCUGGUAGUCCACCCCGUAAACGUUGGGAACUAGUUGUGGGGACCAUUCCACGGUUUCCGUGACGCAGCUAACGCAUUAAGUUCCCCGCCUGGGGAGUACGGCCGCAAGGCUAAAACUCAAAGGAAUUGACGGGGACCCGCACAAGCGGCGGAGCAUGCGGAUUAAUUCGAUGCAACGCGAAGAACCUUACCAAGGCUUGACAUAUACGAGAACGGGCCAGAAAUGGUCAACUCUUUGGACACUCGUAAACAGGUGGUGCAUGGUUGUCGUCAGCUCGUGUCGUGAGAUGUUGGGUUAAGUCCCGCAACGAGCGCAACCCUCGUUCUAUGUUGCCAGCACGU
rnacentral:rRNA from 1 species